CAGUCAUGUAAUGUUUUAUUUUCUUCAUUCCUUAGUUUAAAAAAAAUUAACAAAAAAGAAUAGCCAGGCAUGGUAGCUUGUGCCUAUAGUUCCAGCUACUUGGGAGGCUGAGGUGGGAGGAUCACUUAAGCCAAGGAGUUUCAGGCUGCAGUGAGUUACAAUGAUGCCACUACAUUCCAGGCUGGGUGACAGAGUGAGACUCCAUCUCUAUUUUUUAAGAAAAGAAUAAGUUUUAAUUAAAGACAUUCACUCAAAUCCAGUAAAACAGCUCAGCUGUGAAAUAAAUUAACACUUAUCAAAAAUAAUACAUUUUGCUAUUUUCUUAUUUUAAAUGUUACACAUAAAUAAGUCAUAUAUAAUGGCAGGAUAGAAGUAACUCAAGUUCUCUUCCUCAGACACCACAAUUGCUGUGGUAUUGUUUGUGUUAAAUCUGUUCUUGAAGUGCAGGUAUUUAUAUAUAAGGAUUGAAGACACAAGGUACACUCAAAGCGAGCUCUAAAGAUUCUGAACCUGGCCAGGCGCGGUGGCUCAUGCCUGUGAUCCCAGCACUUUGGGAGGCCAAGGCAGGGGGAUCACCUGAGGUCAGGAGUUUGAGACCAGCCUGGCCAACAUAGUAAAAACUCCGUCUCUACUAAAAAUACAAGAAUUAGCCAGGUUUGGCUGCACGCACCCGUAAUCUCAGCUACCUGGUAGGCUGAGGCACGAGAAUCGCUUGAACCCAGGAGGCAGAGGUUGCAGUGAGCUGAUAUCGUGCCACUUAACUCUAGCCUGGGCGACAGAGAAAGACUCUGUCUCAAAAAAAAAAAAAAUUACUCUCACAAUGAAUGCAUUUAGUUGAGUUUAUGUGUGAGACAGACAGAGAGAGAGAGAGAGAGAGAGAGAGACGGUGAUGGAGAGACAGAGAUAUUAGGAGGACAACAUAGAGGCUUUUCAAUGACCUUCCACACAGAAAAAAUAAAGAAAAAUAAAAAUGUGGUAAUUUGAAAAUCACAUCUGCUUUAUUAAAAUUUAAGCAAUAAUCACGAGAAUUUUUUAGAAUUUAGAACAACAAAUUUUUUUUCAGAUAGAAGCAUUUUAUCACUAACUACAUGACAGUAAUAAAAAGUAGAGGCCAGGCUCGGUGGCUCAAGCCUGUAAUCCCAGCACUUUGGGAGGCUGAGGCAGGCAGAUCACCUGAGGUCAAGAGUUCGAGACCAGCCUGGCCAACAUGGCAAAACCCCAUCUCUACUAAAAGUACAAAAAUUAGCUGGGUGUGGUUGCAGGCGCCUGUAAUCCCAGCUACUCAGGAGGCUGAGGCAGGAGAAUAGCUUGAACCCGGGAGGCAGGUGGUUGCAGUGAGCUCAGAUCGUGCCAUUGCACUCCAGCCUGAGCAACAGGCUAAAAAAAGAAAGCAGAAAGACUUUUAGUCUGGCUUUAUCAUUGUUUUAAAAUCUCUAAUGAUGAUGCACUGCUUAUUGUUCUCUCCUGAGCAAACCCCACCCAUUGCCUGGUCCUUAGCAUGCCACUGAAUAUAUAGGUCAGAGAAUCCCUUCUUCCACUCCAACAGAAUCCCAAACAGGGAGAAAAAUGACCAAUCUCUUUCUUUUCUUUUUUUUUGAGAUGGAGUCUCACUCUGUCACCCAGGCCAGACACUGUUCUAAGAAUUUUUUAUUCACCUUAAUCCUUGAAAAAAACUUAUGAGGUUGAUACCAUUUAUUACAGAAUUCCAACCUACAAGUUUUGUGAGAAGGAAGUCACAACCUGGGAAGUCAAAACACAGCCUCUGGAGCAAUCAGCUCAAAAGGUCAGGACUUGGUCAGUGACUGCCAGCUUCUCUCUCUCUCUCUCUUUUUUUUUUUUUUUUCCAACUCAGGGCCUACCUGAGAAAUCCCUAAACUAAUCAUGUAAGAAGUUGUCCUAGAUCACCUGCCUCCAGCUCCCCCCAUGCCAAUAGGCUCCAAGCAGAACAUAACUAAAGCCUUUCUUUUUCCACUAUUGUUGAAGAGUAAUUGCAUGGGACAGAGUUAAACAGCAAGGAAAACUUUAUUCAAGACUAUUGCAUUAGAGGCCGGGCAUGGUGGCUCACACCUGUUAUCCGAGCACUUUGGGAGGCCAAGGCAAGUGGAUCAUUGAGGCCAGAAGUUUG
rnacentral:lncRNA from 1 species